CCCUUAGAUGUCCUGGGCCGCACGCGCGCUACACUGAUGCAUUCAACGAGUAUUUCCUUGGCCGAGAGGCCUGGGCAAUCUUUUAAACCUGCAUCGUGAUAGGGAUAGAUUAUUGCAAUUAUUAAUCUUGAACGAGGAAUUCCUAGUAAACGCAAAUCAUCAAUUUGCAUUGAUUACGUCCCUGCCCUUUGUACACACCGCCCGUCGCACCUGCCGAUUGAAUGGUCCGGUGAAAUCUCGGGAUUGUGGCCAGUUCACUUUAUUGGGAGUUGGCUGCGAGAACUUGCUUAAACCUUAUCAUUUAGAGGAAGGUGAAGUCGUAACA
rnacentral:rRNA from 1 species